AUGUGCGUUGUGUGUGUGUGUGUGUGUGUGAUAGAGAAAGACAAUGCUGCAGACUCCAGCAUGUCUCCAACACACACACUCACACACGGAUACUCUCUUCCUGCUGCCUCUCUUUUGCAUUCGGAAGCCAAGGUGUUGAGACACCAGUGGCAUUGUGUGUGUGUAUAUGUGUGUUGCAAUAUCCUUUUUUUUUGCAGCAAAAGGAGACCGAGAGAAAGAGACACACUCUCAUGUGCGCCUAUAUGCGAAUGGAGAUAUAAAUUACAGCAUCCGGAAGAUUUUGAACCGACCUCCGAUCCAUCUCCUGGUGAGGGUGAAACUAGAAACCAAGCCGAAGAAAAAUGAAGACAGGGUGCUGGUAAGGAGAUUCCUGGGAAUUGCUAAUAUUAUUAUUAUUAUCAUCAUCAUUGGUGCUGGUAAGGAGAUUCCUGGGAAUUAUUAUUAACAUUGGGUUGCUAUGAGUUUUCCGGGCUGUCUGGCCAUGUUCCAGAAGCAUGCUCUCCUGACGUUUCGCCCACAUCUAUGGCAGGCAUCCUCAGAGGUUGUGAGGUCUGUUGGAAACUAGGCGAAUGGGAUUUAUAUAUUUGUAGAAUGUCCACGGUGGGGGAAAGCACUCUUGUCUGUUUGACGCAAGUAUGAAUAUUGCACUUGGCCACCUUUGAUUCGCAUUGAAAUAAUAAUAAUAAUAAUAAUAAUAAUAAUAAUAAUAAUAAUAAUAAUAAACUUUAUUUAUACCCCGCCACCAUCUCCCCAAUGGGGACUUGGGGCGGCUUACAUGGAGCCAUGCCCAGAACAAUACAAUUUGUUAGAAUAUAAAAAGAGCAACAAAUCAUAACACAUUGAACAAUACAAUAAAUGAUAAUAUACAUUACAACGCAAAAUCAGAAGAACAAUAAAAACAAGGGCGGGCCACAUGAACACUAAGUUAAAACUCAGGGUGAGAAAAGGAAUAAGAAUAAAAACCACAAAGAACAGGGUCAUAAAAUAGUGGUGCAAUCUGGAGGAUAGAUAUUGGAGGAGAGCAACAGGGAAGAUGUAUAUAGUAAUUACUCUCCAAAAGCACAACGGAAGAAUAGCUUUGCAGCUUCAAAGACUGGCUGCUUCCUGCCCGAGGGAAUCCUUGGUUGGGAGGUGUUAGCUGGCCCUGAUUGUUUCUUGUCUGGAAUUCCCAUUUUUUCCCAACAAAGGAUACCCUCAGGCAGGAAGGAGCCAGGCUU
rnacentral:lncRNA from 1 species